GUCUACAGCCAUGCAACUCUGAACAAGGCCAAUGUCUGAUCUCGGAAGCUAAGCAGGGUCGGGCCUGGUUAGUACUUGGAUGGGAGACCACUUAGGAAAACCAGGUGCUGUAGGCA
rfam:Pteropus alecto contig58060, whole genome shotgun sequence.